rnacentral:lncRNA from 1 species
AUAGCCACUCCAACAUGAGUGGCUACAAUCAAGGCUGGACGGAAGUCAGAUACGGCCGGAGGGCUCGACGUUUCCGCCAGCAGUCUUGGGAUCGUAGGGACGGGUACGGAUGGGGGAAGGCCAGCGCAUUCCCCGCUCCUUAUGGGAGACGGGACAGAGUCCCCUCACCUAACCCUAACCCUAACCUGGGCUCUAACCCUAACCCUAGCCCUAACCCUAACCCUAACCCUAACCAUAGGUCUAACCCUAACCCUAACCUUAGGGGGUUAAUAAAUAAAUAAAUAAAUAAAUAAAUAAAUAAACAAAUAAAUAAAUAACAUCAUAUAUUGCAUGGUAAAUCAUCUACAAGGGUGCUAAAGGGUUAAAAGAGCAAAUACAAAAAGGGUUAUAAUUUAGUUUAAAAAUAAGGAAAUUCAUUGUAUUUUUCUCUGGGAGAGUAUAAAAGGCAGAGCAGAGGAGGAAAAUUCAUUUUCACUCUGACAGCCACCAAGUAAAGAACUACUGCAUUUAAACCACUGUUGUUUUUUUUGUGUGUGCCUUGGCCUGAAGAAGACCUAAGCAGGUCGAAACGUAGCUUCAUAGGCACACAAUAGGAAGGCUAAGAAUAGUUAUCAUUGUGAAAAACAAAUAAAAAAAUAAAAAAUAUAAAAAAAUAUAAAAAAAUACAAAAAAAUACAAAAAAAUGUAAAAAUAGUUAAAAACAGUUUAUCUUUUGAAAAAUAUUAUAUUUGAGGGUAUUUAAUCACAGUUUUAGUUAAUUUAGAAGUUCAAAUAAGAACGAAAUCAACAUUUUAUUUUAAGAAAGGGUUUAAAAACAGUUAUUUUAUUUUUGUUUAUUAAAAACAGCAUCUCGGGAUAAUCACAAUCAUAAUCUCAUUCAAGGAACAAUAAAAAACCACAAGAAAAUCAAAAUUUUGUUUAAGAAAGCUUUUAUUUUAUUGCUGUGGGAUACAAAUCACAAUUUCAGUUAAAGCAUAUUAAAAUCACAAUUUUAAUUUAAAUAUACAAAAAUCUUAAAAACAAUCUAAAAAGCAAAGUAUGAUGGCCACUCCACGCAGGAGUGGCUUUGACGGCUGGACGGAGGUCCGCUUUGGCCGUAAAGGCCAGCGCUUCCGCCAGCCAUUCCGGGACCGGGGGAACGUGUCCGGUCGAGGAAGGCCCG